GACGAACGCUGGCGGCGUGCCUAAUACAUGCAAGUCGAACGAAACUUUCUUACGCCGAAUGCUUGCAUUCACCGUAAGAAGUUGAGUGGCGGACGGGUGAGUAACACGUGGGUAACCUGCCUAAAAGAAGGGGAUAACACUUGGAAACAGGUGCUAAUACCGUAUAUCUCUAAGGAUCGCAUGAUCCUUAGAUGAAAGAUGGUUCUGCUAUCGCUUUUAGAUGGACCCGCGGCGUAUUAACUAGUUGGUGGGGUAACGGCCUACCAAGGUGAUGAUACGUAGCCGAACUGAGAGGUUGAUCGGCCACAUUGGGACUGAGACACGGCCCAAACUCCUACGGGAGGCAGCAGUAGGGAAUCUUCCACAAUGGACGCAAGUCUGAUGGAGCAACGCCGCGUGAGUGAAGAAGGUCUUCGGAUCGUAAAACUCUGUUGUUAGAGAAGAACACGAGUGAGAGUAACUGUUCAUUCGAUGACGGUAUCUAACCAGCAAGUCACGGCUAACUACGUG
rnacentral:rRNA from 1 species